rnacentral:rRNA from 2 species
GACGAACGCUGGCGGCGUGCUUAACACAUGCAAGUCGAACGAUGAAGCUGGAGCUUGCUCCGGUGGAUUAGUGGCGAACGGGUGAGUAACACGUGAGCAAUCUGCCCUUGACUCUGGGAUAACUGCGGGAAACUGUAGCUAAUACCGGAUACUUUCCUUGGUGGGCAUCCACUGGGGAAGAAAGAAUUUCGGUCAAGGAUGAGCUCGCGGCCUAUCAGCUAGUUGGUGAGGUAAUGGCUCACCAAGGCGACGACGGGUAGCCGGCCUGAGAGGGUGACCGGCCACACUGGAACUGAGACACGGUCCAGACUCCUACGGGAGGCAGCAGUGGGGAAUAUUGCACAAUGGGCGAAAGCCUGAUGCAGCAACGCCGCGUGAGGGACGAAGGCCUUCGGGUUGUAAACCUCUUUUAGCAGGGAAGAAGCGAAAGUGACGGUACCUGCAGAAAAAGCACG